UCCGGUUUGUCACCGGCAGUCUCGCAUGAGUCCCCACCCGAAGUGAUGGCAACAUGCGACAGGGGUUGCGCUCGUUGCGGCACUCAAGCCAACACCUCACGGCACGAGCUGACGACAGCCAUGCGGCACCUGUGCUAGCCCCUUACGGACACGGGCUUUCACCCGCUUUAACUAGCAUGUCAAACCCAGGUAAGGUUCUUCGCGUUGCCUCGAAUUAAGCAACAUGCUCCGCCGCUUGUGCGGGCCCCCGUCAAUUCCUUUGAGUUUUAGCCUUGCGGCCGUACUCCCCAGGCGGGGCACUUAAUGCGUUAGCUGCGGCACGGAUCCCGUUGGUUAGGACCCACACCUAGUGCCCAACGUUUACGGCGUGGACUAC
rnacentral:misc_RNA from 1 species